rnacentral:rRNA from 1 species
GACGAACGCUGGCGGCGUGCUUAACACAUGCAAGUCGAACGAAGUGGCGAACGGGUGAGUAACGCGUAAUCAACCUGCCCUUCAGGGGGGGACAACAGUUGGAAACGACUGCUAAUACCGCAUACUGAAGGAGGGGAUUGCGUCUGAUUAGCUAGUUGGGGGGGUAACGGCCCACCAAGGCGAUGAUCAGUAGCCGGUCUGAGAGGGUGGACGGCCAAAAUGGGACUGAGACACGGCCCAGGCUCCUACGGGAGGCAGCAGUGGGGAAACUUCCGAAAUGGACGAAAAGCUGACGGAGCAACGCCGCGUGAGAGAAGACGGCCUUCGGGGUGUAAAGCUCUGUUAAGCGGGACGCGGUACCGGAAGAGAAAGCCACGGCUAACUACGUGCCAGCAGCCGCGGUAAUUC